AUCACACGGUAUAGCUGACUGAUAUAAAUCCUGAAACCAAAUUUCAGAAAUCCUUGUAUUGUAGUUCCUGAGAAAAAUGUGACGAAAAUUUUCAACUUGGCUAUCAUGUGUAAAAUCAGACAAGUGUUCGGUAAACAGGAAGUUGUCAAGUGAUGAAUCUGAAAACGUAUCACACGGUAUGGCUGACAUAUAUAAAUGUUGAUACCAAAUUACAGAAAGGGUGGAUGUGUAGUUCCUGAGAAAAAUGUGACGAAAGUUUCAUGGGACGGACUGACUGACGGACGGACUGACGGACGGACGGACUGACAGACAGAGGUAAAACAGUAUACCCCCCCUUUUUUAAAGCGGGGGUAUAAAAAUAUGUUCAAACUAAGGGUACACAUUAAAAAUAAAAAAAAUCCUGUGUAUAAUGAGACAGAUUUAAUGGUUAUCACAUGACUACAAUAUGAUAUAAUGAUUUCAUAAAAAUAUCAACAUACUGAAUAAAUCAUUCAUCAAUGAGAUACAUACCAUACUACCAUACUUAUCAUGUACUAAUUGUUUAAAAAAACACACCGACAUUAUAACACAGUACAAAACUAAAUCAUCGAACAAACUUAUCAUGUACUAAGUGUUUAAAAAAACACACCAACAUUACAACACACAAACAACCUGAAUAUGCUUGUGGUAUCUAGUAAGAGAAGCCCAUUGAUCUCCAAUUUUAAAGACUUUUGGUGGUCAUUAUGCAGUAUAAUUCUUUUGGGUACAUAGUCACAAUUAAUACCCUGCUUCUAAAGACUUUAAUUUUUAUGACAAAUUUCAAUUGUUUCCUUUGGAAGAGGCAAUAAUUCAUAUUGGAUUGUAAAUUCCUAUUCCUGUGUAUUCAAUUUGAAUUAAUGGGAGUCAAACCCUGUACAAGUAUUUUAAACUUUUAGAUGGUACUCAGCUAAACCAUAUCCACUUUAAAACGUUUUAUAAAUAAUUUCCAAAAAUAUAUUGAACCUACUAUCAUGACUAUCUUACCUUUUAACAAUAACGAAAACAUAAAACAUAGCACCAACUAACCGUUUAAUAAAAGAGAAACAACUAUGGAAAGGGUUUCAAAUCUUCUACUGGAACUUAUUUGAUUGGCUGGGUAAUGACACUUACUCGAUAUUGACAAACACACUUUUUCUUUUCAAUGAAGAACACACUUCCAUUUACCAUUAAACAAAACGUUUAUUGCACACAAUAAACUUUAGUUAUUGUGUUCCUUUUAAAGCAUGUAUAAUCUUCCUUUUAUCUUAAUCUGACAUUAUGCUUUCUACACGCUAAGAAAACCACUUUUAAAUAAUUUAUCUUAGUUUUCUUUGUUUCACUAUAAAUUAAAACAUAUAUUCAGGGUCAACUUUAAAUCAUGCUGACCUUUAAUUCUUUGUACUGCUUCAAACAUGUUUAAUUUUUACACUACUCAUCAAUGAUCAUGCUCCCACAUUUUCAUUCAACCAAUCCUACAUUUGACAACACUAAAAUUAAUACAUAUAAUAUUAUUCAACUUAUAACAUUUAAUGUAAAAAACUAUUCCUCUGUGAUUGAUAAUUAUAAUAACAAUUUCACUAAAAGAAUAUCAAACCUUAUAAC
rnacentral:lncRNA from 1 species